rnacentral:rRNA from 1 species
GAUGAACGCUAGCUACAGGCUUAACACAUGCAAGUCGAGGGACCGGCGCACGGGUGAGUAACACGUAUCCAACCUGCCCUUUACUCGGUGAUAGCCUUUCGAAAGAAAGAUUAAUACCCGCUAUAAAGGAUGGGGAUGCGUUCCAUUAGGUUGUUGGUGAGGUAACGGCUCACCAAGCCUUCGAUGGAUAGGGGUUCUGAGAGGAAGGACCCCGACAUUGAAACGGAGACACAGUCCAAACGCCUGCGGGAGGAGGAAGGGGUGAAUAAUGAGUAAUAGGCGCUAGCCUGAACCAGCCAAGUAGCGUGAAGGAUGAAGGCUUAUGGGUCGUAAACGACUUGUAUAUAAGAAAAUGUAUUAUAUGAAUAAGGAUCGGCUAACUCCGUGCCAGCAGCCGCGGUAAUUC